AACGCACAUUGCGCCUCCCUUCACGGGGGGGCAUGCCUGUCUGAGCGUCAUUUAAGUCGAUAGGCCCGAUCGGGUCUGUAUUGGGCCUCGCACGUCAGGGCGUCGCCUCGAAUGAAUCGGUCGAAUGUGCGGACGAGAUCCAUUAGGACUGACCGUUCAGAGACCAUAAACCUCUGAUUUGACCUCAGAUCAGGUAGGGACACCGCCUGAACUUAA
rnacentral:misc_RNA from 1 species